GUCAGAUGAUGAGAACGUGCAUUAUUGAGCUGAUUGUUAAGGUCUAUAAACCAGAGUUAUUAUAUUGUCUGUAAUCUUGGUAAAUAAACUCAGUCUGUUUAUUUGCUGUAAGGCCGGACAUAGAAUUAAAGCCAGUUCUUCUCACACAUGGAUAAUUAAAAGAUAAAUUAUUCUUGUUCCGAAAUGGCACAUAAAGUAGUGGGGUUUGGGAAGGGUGUUUCAUCGUGGGAAGGGAAUUAUAGGGGAUGCAUUGUUCACCUGAACGACAGCUAAUGAAAAUAAUUUUAGUAAUCUGAUGGCA